rnacentral:rRNA from 1 species
ACUCCUACGGGAGGCAGCAGUGGGGAAUAUUGCACAAUGGGCGAAAGCCUGAUGCAGCCAUGCCGCGUGUGUGAAGAAGGCCUUCGGGUUGUAAAGCACUUUCAAUAGUGAGGAAAGGCGAGUAGUUAAUACCUGCUUGCUGUGACGUUAACUAUAGAAGAAGCACCGGCUAACUCCGUGCCAGCAGCCGCGGUAAUACGGAGGGUGCAAGCGUUAAUCGGAAUUACUGGGCGUAAAGCGCGCGUAGGCGGCUUGUUAAGUUGGGUGUGAAAGCCCCGGGCUGCAACCUGGGAACUGCAUCCAAAACUGGCAGACUAGAGUACUGUAGAGGGGGGUGAGAAUUAUCAGGUGUAGCGGUGAAAUGCGUAGAGAUCUGAAGGAAUACCGGUGGCGAAGGCGGCCCCCUGGACAGAUACUGACACUCAGAUGCGAAAGCGUGGGAGCAAACAGGAUUAGAUACCCUGGUAGGACAGUG